rnacentral:rRNA from 1 species
GACGAACGCUGGCGGCGUGCUUAACACAUGCAAGUCGAACGGUAAGGCCCUUCGGGGUACACGAGUGGCGAACGGGUGAGUAACACGUGGGUGAUCUGCCCUGCACUUCGGGAUAAGCCUGGGAAACUGGGUCUAAUACCGGAUAGGACUCCUGCCUGCAUGGGUGGGGGUGGAAAGCUUUUGUGGUGUGGGAUGGGCCCGCGGCCUAUCAGCUUGUUGGUGGGGUGAUGGCCUACCAAGGCGACGACGGGUAGCCGGCCUGGGAGGGUGACCGGCCACACUGGGACUGAGAUACGGCCCAGACUCCUACGGGAGGUAGCAGUGGGGAAUAUUGCACAAUGGGCGCAAGCCUGAUGCAGCGACGCCGCGUGAGGGAUGACGGCCUUCGGGUUGUAAACCUCUUUCAGCACAGACGAAGCGCAAGUGACGGUAUGUGCAGAAGAAGGACCGGCCAACUACGUGCCAGCAGCCGCCGUAA